rnacentral:rRNA from 1 species
CCUACGGGUGGCUGCAGUGGGGAAUAUUGGACAAUGGGGGCAACCCUGAUCCAGCCAUGCCGCGUGAAUGAUGAAGGCCUUCGGGUUGUAAAAUUCUUUUGGUGGGGACGAUGAUGACGGUACCCACAGAAUAAGCUCCGGCUAACUUCGUGCCAGCAGCCGCGGUAAUACGAAGGGGGCUAGCGUUGUUCGGAAUUACUGGGCGUAAAGGGCGCGUAGGCGGCUUGAUAAGUUGGAUGUGAAAUCCCAGGGCUGAGCCGUGGAAUUGCAUUGAAGAGGAUCUUGCUUGAAUUCGGUAGAGGGUGGUGGAAUUCCCAGUGUAGAGGUGAAAGUCGUAGAGAUUGGGAAGAAUAUCCGUGGCGAAGGCGGCCAACUGGACCGACAUUGACGCUGAGGCGCGAAAGCGUGGGGAGCAAACAGGAUUAGAUACCCCGGUAGUC